rnacentral:rRNA from 1 species
UACGUGAGGGGCCGAGCGUUGUCCGGAGUUAUUGGGCGUAAAGCGCGCGCAGGCGGCCUCGCGCGCCCGACGUGAAAGCCCCCGGCUUAACCGGGGAGAGUCGUUGGGGACGGCGGGGCUUGAGGGCGGGAGAGGGUGGUGGAAUUCCCGGUGUAGUGGUGAAAUGCGUAGAGAUCGGGAGGAACACCCGUGGCGAAGGCGGCCACCUGGGCCGACCCUGACGCUGAGGCGCGAAGGCGUGGGGAGCGAACGGG